ACUGCUGCAUACAGUACAUAGAUGAUCUCUGACUUGUGCUUUAAGGUACACCUGUAAACAAAGCUGUUUUAUAAAGAUGUAGAUUGUUCACAGGUCGCCAUGUAACACUUCUGUUCUUUCUCCAGCUUGGCAUAACAUGAUGUAUUCUUGUAUAUUAAUGCUUGACUUAUCUCUCCAGGGCAUUCUUUCUCAUUUUGUUCUUUGAUUUUCUCUUCCCUUUUUUUUCUGCACCUGUUUAGCUAUUGUAAAGCUUUCAGCUCUGAUUCCUAUACUGUACUGCUAAUGCUGAAGUAUAUGUAUUUAUCAUAUUAAGUGCUGCAGGUAUCUUGGUUUAUUAGUUUUGUUUUUGUUUUGUUUGUUUCCACUUUUUCAGUUCUUCAUAAAACGUCUGGGACGCUGAUUUUUUAAGUGUAUUAUCUCUAAAAAAAAUUAAAAGAAUAAAAGGUAGAUCAGUGGUUUAGGUAACACCUGUUUGUAUAUUUAUCUUAGCUAGGUCUAUUUUGAUACUUUUUUGUCUCUGUACUGCAUUUAUGCAUUUUUAAGGAAAGAAAAAACAAAUGGAAAACAAACUAAAAAGUUUCUUCAUUAUGUAUUGAUACCUCAGAAGGACUUUUUCUCAAAGACAGGACCAAAACCUCUGAAAAGAAAAAGAGAAAGAGGAAAAAGUGUAAGAAUAUGUAGCCCCUCUCUUGCUUUAAAAAAAUGCGGAGCUCUAGAAAGAUAUUGCUGUUGGUCCUCUCAGGUGCCAAUAUGUGAGAUUGGACAGUUCUGAGGUGUCAUGUGAGGGGGAAGGGACUCUCAAAGUGGAGCUUUGCCUGACGGUAUUAUCAAGUAGACAGCCAGAAUCCAAUGGAACUACCACUUCAGUUCUCCUUUGGUUAAACCUUAGGAAUGUGUGUACAUUUUCAGCAGUGACUCUCUGAAUUGUUUCUUAGUUUCAGUUUACCUGUUUACCUCUCUUUAUCCUUUGUUUUUUUUUCUGUUUCUUGUUAUUUGAAAGUGUGACCCGAGGAAGAGGCGGGGACAGGGACUGGGUGGUGGCUUUAGACAGACAGUGGAGCCCAGCCCUCUGACCCUCCACCCCGGGUAGCCAUGUAAUGCCAGUCACUGCCCUUUCCUUCAUGCUGUAUAAAAACACACACAUAUAUCUGUGUAUUUGUAACCUGAAUCUUCUUGUGUCUGUCCAUGCAGACAAUAAAAAAACUGUACAGUAGGUCUAGUUGCAUGUAAUCUGUACUAAUUAUUGACAAUGGCAUUAUAAAAUGCAAUAAAAUACUUAUUACACUGUCCUAUGUUGCAUCCUUUUUGUUUCUUCUACAUAUGUCUAUAGCAGUGGUUACCAAC
rnacentral:lncRNA from 15 species